rnacentral:rRNA from 1 species
GAUGAACGCUGGCGGCGUGCCUAACACAUGCCAGUCGAACGGAGAUUACGGACGGAAGUUUUCGGAUGGAAGACUGUAAUUCUUAGUGGCGGACGGGUGAGUAACGCGUGGGCAACCUGCCCUAUACAGGGGGAUAGCAGCUGGAAACGGCUGGUAAGACCGCAUAAGUCGGUUAAAUCGCAUGAUUUGAUCGGGAAAUGAGCAAUCAGGUAUAGGAUGGGCCCGCGUCCGAUUAGCCAGUUGGCAGGGUAAAAGCCUACCAAAGCGACGAUCGGUAGCCGGACUGAGAGGUCGGACGGCCACAUUGGGACUGAGACACGGCCCAAACUCCUACGGGAGGCAGCAGUGGGGGAUAUUACAAAAUGGAGGAAACUCUGAUGCAGCGACGCCGCGUGAGUGAAGAAGUAUUUCGGUAUGUAAAGCUCUAUCAGCAGGGAAGAUGAUGACGGUACCUGACUAAGAAGCCCCGGCUAACUACGUG